rnacentral:lncRNA from 1 species
UCAGACACAACUGGACUAGCAAAGAAAAAAAAAAGCUGAAAUAAUAAUAAGAUGAGUAAGCAUCACAAGGCUAAAAGACUUGAGCACACAGGAAACUCUUCCCCAUAAGCUUUUAAUCGUCAAAGGUAGUCUUCUUGUUGACUGCCAAAAUAAACCAAGAACAUGUGAGAAGCUGGAUUACUUAACUAUCAAGAUUCAAGACAACAUCUAUUAACAAACUAACGUACCUGAGGAAGUGAAACUAGGUCUGCUGAAUCCACGGCCACCACCAUUGUCUCUUCCUCUACCAAAACGACCACCGCCAUUUCUACCACGCCCACUGUCUCUUCCUCUAUCACUACAAAAACGACCACCUCCGCCACCACUAAAACGACCACCGCCGCCACCACCACCACUGCUGUCCCUCGGUUUAGCCUCAUCGACAACAAUAUUCCAUCCUCCCAACUCAGUACCAUUAAGGUCAUACGCCUUCUCUGCGCCUUCCUUAAAGUCAAUGUAAGCAAUUCUGCAUUUUAAAACAAUUGUUUUAGUUAACCAUCUGAGAGAAAAUAAUACACAAAGUGGAGGGAAGAAGAAGUCACACACCCUCUGGAAGCACCAGUUUCACGGUCCAUGGGAAGAGAGACCCUUGUGAUCUCUCCACAUGAAGCAAAGUGUUGAGUCAAUGCCUGCCUGAUAUCUUCCUCAGGAAGGGACGAGUCGAAUCCCUUGACGAAUAUUUUUUGACCUUCACCACCACCGCUUCUGAAGUUACCACCACCGCUUUGUGGAGUGUUGUAUGCGGGUCUGUCUCCCCUCUCCGCAGCCAAAUCAAGACGAAUGUCACGACCAAGUAAGGCUCUACCGUGAAGUUCCAAUGCCUGAGGUACAAAUGAUUUUAGUCAGCAAGCAAAUUUCAAAAUAAAUACUUAAAAGUACAAAACUAGCACUCACCUUCUGUGCAUCUUCAGAAGUAGCAAACUCAACAUGGCCAAAUCCUCUGAAACUGCCAUCAUCCUUGUUGGUAGCAAAUCUAACAUCAACAACUUCGCCAGCUUCUUUAAAGAAAUUUUCACUGUAUUUGGAGGAUAGACUAUCAUUAGAUCACGGCAAAAAACUGAACUUGUCCAAAGAGAGAGAUACUUACACGUCUGAUCUUUCGAUCUGGAAUGAGAGAUUACCAGCAAAGAGCGUCUUGGGUCCUCCUGUAGCAGGAGUUGCUGGUGUCUUAGGCUGAAAGACAAAAGGAUGAAAUACAAAUUAACUUCAAAGAAUGAUCCAUAAACGAAAUUAGAGAAACUUGGGGGAUUCCUUACCUGUUUCUCCUCAGCAUCCACCAUUUCUACAUCAGCGUUCUGUUUUAGUAAAAAACAUUAGAUCAGCAAACGGCAAGUUAUAAAAAAUUUAUGCAAUAGAAACUCAACUUUGAUAUUUUGGAAUCAUAAUGAAACAUCUCACACACCUUUUUCUUUGGGGUUUCUUCCUCAUCUUCACUCUCUGAUUCGUCAGAUUCAGAUUCAUCACUACUGCUAUCCUUUUUAGCUGCCUUGGUGGUAGCCUUUUUAGGUGCAGGCUUUUCAUCUUCACUUUCCUGGAAUGACAAAAAAUCAAACAAAUCAACAACGAUUCAAAUUACAGGACAUCAGAAGCUGCUUAUUGAUCAAGUUAAGUAGAGAAUCUACCUCAUCAGAUGAUUCUGAACUGCUUGCAGCCUUGGUAGCAGGAGCUGCCUUUUUAGCAGCUGGUUUCUCAUCCUCAGACUCAUCUUCCGAUGAAUCAUCAUCGUCAGAAGAUGAAGAAUCUUUAGCUUUAGCAGCUGGCUUCUUAGCAGCAACAGGUUUCUUUGUAGCAGGUUCCUGUUAGCCCAUCACCAAACACGCAAAUAAGUUACAUAGUUCAGAAACAUAAAGAGGAAAACAGUAAAAGAUACUUAUGAGGAGGUGCUUACUUCAUCAGAAGAUUCCUCAUCGUAAGAGUCUUCUUCUUCAGAAGAGCUCUCUGACUUGGCCUUCACAGAGCCGUUUUUAGCAGCUGCAGCAGGUUUCUUGGUAACAGCAACUUCUUCCUGAAAUAGAUGAUAAAGGCCAAGUAUGUUAGCAAUAGUCCAAAGAGAGCAGGCUAAAAACUCGCAUAGUAAUCAAAAACUAACAUCAUCUGAAGAUUCUUUCUCAGAAGAUGAGUCAUCUUUUGUUUUCUUUGCAACCUUUCCGUUAGUGGCCUUCUUGGCUACCUCAGGUUCCUUCAAAGACAAAACAUUGAAGGUUUUAGAAAGACGCUACACAAAGUACAAAACUGAAGCACACAGUAACAAAAACCCACAAAACUCUUACAUCAUCUGAAGAAGAGUCGUCAGAGGACUCCUCGCUGCUUGAAUCAGCCUUAGCUGGAGCCUUCUUAGCAGGAACUUUCUUAGCCUAACAUGAACAAUACAAUACUAUGAGACAAACAUCAAACAUAGAUUAAUCUACAAUUACUAAAACAGUGAGUAUUGUGGGAACCGAAAUUCACACUGUCGAUUUCUGUUUAAAUAAGGAAACUAGGAAAACCCUAAUUUCCCAGAGGACCCGGAUAUCUGUUAAUUACCACACGUCAAGCAAUCAGAACACGAGAAUAACAAUGAUAAAAAUAAGAAAUCGAAAUAAGAGCAAAGUAGAUCUUAUUCCGAAUCUGCGUAUGAGCGUUACAACAAGGUAUAAGCCUGGGCUCGAGAGCUGUCGGCGAUAUUCCUAGUUCUAGCAACCCUAAGACGGCUAAACCUAAUUGAGUCGCAGCUCGAAAUAACAAAAACGGAAAAUUGCCUAAAUUGCUCUAAGUGCUAAGUUUGCUCUGAAAAAGUCCUCCCUUCUUGCUCCUCGCCUAGGACUCCUUAUAUACUAGCUCCAAGGUCGGUUUACGCUUUUACUCUUCUGCCCUUAAGCCGUCAUAGCAUAAAAAUGGAGAUAUUCAAUUUUGAUUAUUUUUAUUUGAUCGAGCUAAAUUUAAUUUUGUCCAAGUUCUGGUUUGGGUUUGAUUAGAAACAUGGUUCGGCCUAGUCUAUAUAUCCAUCCUAGUGAUCAUUUUGAACAUUUUGUGGUGUGUUUUCAGCAAUCCAAAUCUGCUGAUAAGUACAUAGGACUAUACACUGAUUCAAUCCCAAAUGUAAAGGUUUUCUACAUGUCAUCGGUUACUCGGUAGUAUAACCCAUUUAUCAGUUUUCCUCUGAAAUCUUUCCAGUUCCCUCCUUCCAGUAAAUCUUGUUUCAGUACAAUAAAAAAAUGUUUAUUUUGUGUAAUUACUUUCUUCAAGGAUGAACUUUUUUGGGCUGCGGCUUGGCUACGCCGGGGAUGAGUACCACUUGAAAUAGGUUGAAACAAUGCCGGUUACAUGGGUGAAACUGGAUGGAGAAUGGAAGAAUUCUCUUUGGAUAACAUAUAACAGAUAAGCCGGUGUUCAAGUCCUUGUCACCAAGGUAAAUAACCUGGUUUCUUCAAUAAUGUUAUUUCUGAAGUUUCAAGAAUACUAAUCUUGACUCUUGUUUGAUUUGUGUGUGUGUGCUUAUAUAUUGUUAGAAGUUAAAGAAGGUGGAUAUACUUCUUGUGCUUGUCUAAAAGAAAAUGAUGGCUACAACAUUCAAACAACUGGUAAGUUAAUUUAGUAUAAAAUUCGGUGAAUAUUGAAUGUUUUUUUGUUUAGUGGAGGAAAAUUCAGGUGGUUUGAUGUAUGUUAUAAAUUAUCUCUCUGCAGCACAUGCUAAACUCAAUUUUCAUCAUGGUUCGGUUCAACCUCAAGCACUUUUAGACAUUGCUAGAUCUCAGGUAAUCAAAUCUUUGAGGAACACAAAACCAUUUUUUCUUGCUGCUUUAAUGCAUUAACCACAGGUUCUUUCACCUUGCAGAUGUACUGAUUACAUUCUUUGAAAAACUGUCAAGGAAUGAAUUGCCAAGUUGGAUAUGGACCAAAAUAUCCAAUCAGAGUCCACCAUACAGGCCCGUCAUUCCCUUCAAUCUUUGUUCAACGUUCUUCUGUGAACUGUGUUGGUUUAGAAUGUCUCACGCUGAUAUGUUAUCCACGGUGCUCUUGUUGAUGGACCAGAUCAGAAUGAUUACUAUUCAGAUGAAGGACAAACCACGAGCAAAUCAGAACCAACUUUUGUCUGGAACAGCUUCACUUGUUGGUCUAUUCGCUAAACUCUCGGGAAGAUUAGGUAACUAAACAAUAAACUGUGUGCUCUUACUCAUGUUCCGUGAAUCAUAUGUAAUGACGGAGGAGGAUCUUCUAAACCAUACCAAACAACAGAACCCACCAGGUUGUUAAUCUUCUUACUUGCUUGCUCUAUACAACUUCUUGCCUCUUCGGGCAUUUCUGAUUCUCAUUUUCUCUGAAAAUCUUCACAGUUUCUGUCUUACAAAACAACACCAACAUCAUACUCCAAAGCAAUGCACCAAUCGAACAGUUCAUUCAAUAACUGCUGAUUGGAUGGCCGGGAACUCUAGGUACUACUACAUACCCUAAGUGCUCAUCAAGAACAAUUCUCAGAGGGACCGGACCUCAAGCUUCAGACCGAAGAUCUCUGACCUAUAGGCUUAAUAGGGCAAAAGAAUGCAUACCACCUUCCUCAGGGGCAAAUGAAAUCUGACAAUCUGCCCCUCUAUGGGUAUCAGUUAUAAGUUACUACUAAUCCUCUUUGUUAACAUCCGGUUUUAAAGUCGUUUAUCAUUUGAGUGAUAGGAAUUCGAAGCUCAAGGAAGACAACAAUUCAACACAAAAAGCACUCAAAAUUGAGUUUUAAUUUAAAUUCAGACAAUAAUAUAAGGAUUCAGACACAACUGGACUAGCAAAGAAAAAAAAAAGCUGAAAUAAUAAUAAGAUGAGUAAGCAUCACAAGGCUAAAAGACUUGAGCACACAGGAAACUCUUCCCCAUAAGCUUUUAAUCGUCAAAGGUAGUCUUCUUGUUGACUGCCAAAAUAAACCAAGAACAUGUGAGAAGCUGGAUUACUUAACUAUCAAGAUUCAAGACAACAUCUAUUAACAAACUAACGUACCUGAGGAAGUGAAACUAGGUCUGCUGAAUCCACGGCCACCACCAUUGUCUCUUCCUCUACCAAAACGACCACCGCCAUUUCUACCACGCCCACUGUCUCUUCCUCUACCACUACAAAAACGACCACCUCCGCCACCA